AGUGGCGAACGGGUGAGUAACACGUGAGCAAUCUGCCCUUGACUCUGGGAUAACUGCGGGAAACUGUAGCUAAUACCGGAUACUUUCCUCGCUGGGCAUCCAGCGGGGAAGAAAGAAUUUCGGUCAAGGAUGAGCUCGCGGCCUAUCAGCUAGUUGGUGAGGUAAUGGCUCACCAAGGCGACGACGGGUAGCCGGCCUGAGAGGGUGACCGGCCACACUGGAACUGAGACACGGUCCAGACUCCUACGGGAGGCAGCAGUGGGGAAUAUUGCACAAUGGGCGAAAGCCUGAUGCAGCAACGCCGCGUGAGGGAUGAAGGCCUUCGGGUUGUAAACCUCUUUUAGCAGGGAAGAAGCGAAAGUGACGGUACCUGCAGAAAAAGCACCGGCUAACUACGUGCCAGCAGCCGCGGUAAUACGUAGGGUGCAAGCGUUGUCCGGAAUUAUUGGGCGUAAAGAGCUCGUAGACGGUUUGUCACGUCUGCUGUGAAAUCCCGAGGCUCAACCUCGGACUUGCAGUGGGUACGGGCAGGCUAGAGUGCGGUAGGGGAGAAGGGAAUUCCUGGUGUAGCGGUGGAAUGCGCAGAUAUCAGGAGGAACACCAAUGGCGAAGGCACUUCUCUGGGCCGUAACUGACGCUGAGGAGCGAAAGCGUGGGGAGCGAACAGGAUUAGAUACCCUGGUAGUCCACGCCGUAAACG
rnacentral:rRNA from 1 species